rnacentral:rRNA from 1 species
GACGAACGCGGCGGCGUGCUUAUCACAUGCAAGUCGAACGGAGCGAAUGAAAGCUUGCUUUUAUGAGCUUAGUGGCAAACGGGUGAGUAACACGUAGACAACCUGCCGAUCAGAUGGGGACAACAUUCCGAAAGGAAUGCUAAUACCGAAUGAAGUGUGGGGGAGGCAUCUUCCCUACAUGAAAGAUGGCCUCUAUAUAUAAGCUAUCACUGAUCGAUGGGUCUGCGUCUGAUUAGCUAGUAGGUAAGGUAACGGCUUACCUAGGCGACGAUCAGUAGCCGGUCUGAGAGGAUGAACGGCCACAUUGGGACUGAGACACGGCCCAGACUCCUACGGGAGGCAGCAGUGGGGAAUCUUCCGCAAUGGGCGCAAGCCUGACGGAGCAACGCCGCGUGAGUGAAGAAGGUCUUCGGAUCGUAAAGCUCUGUUGAAGGGGACGAACGAUCGAGGGGCGAACAGGCUCUCGGUAUGACGGUACCUUU